UGGCGUAAACAAAGGGAAGCGAGACGGUGACGUUAAGCAAAUCCCAGAAAUAACGUCCCAGUUCGGAUUGUAGUCUGCAACCCGACUACAUGAAGCUGGAAUCGCUAGUAAUCGCGAAUCAGAAUGUCGCGGUGAAUACGUUCCCGGGUCUUGUACACACCGCCCGUCACACCAUGGGAGUCGGAAAUGCCCGAAGUCAGUGACCCAACCGUAAGGAGGGAGCUGCCGAAGGUGGAGCCGGUAACUGGGGUGAAGUCGUAACAAGGUACC
rnacentral:rRNA from 1 species